CCUACGGGUGGCAGCAGUGGGGAAUAUUGCACAAUGGGCGAAAGCCUGAUGCAGCAACGCCGCGUGAAGGAAGAAGGCUUUCGGGUUGUAAACUUCUUUUCUCAGGGACGAAGCAAGUGACGGUACCUGAGGAAUAAGCCACGGCUAACUACGUGCCAGCAGCCGCGGUAAUACGUAGGUGGCAAGCGUUAUCCGGAUUUACUGGGUGUAAAGGGCGAGUAGGCGGGAAAGCAAGUCAGAUGUGAAAACCAUGGGCUCAACCUGUGGCCUGCAUUUGAAACUGUUUUUCUUGAGUACUGGAGAGGCAGACGGAAGUCCUAGUGUAGCGGUGAAAUGCGUAGAUAUUAGGAGGAACACCAGUGGCGAAGGCGGUCUGCUGGACAGCAACUGACGCUGAGGCGCGAAAGCGUGGGGAGCAAACAGGAUUAGAUACCCCAGUAGUC
rnacentral:rRNA from 1 species